AGGCUGGUUGUAGUGGGGAGUAUCAAAUCUUUCCCUGAUAAUAAAGCAGAUAUCGCUUCUGCCCGCUCGCUCACCGUCGUGAUGAUCUUGUAAAGAAGUCCCCGUGGAUUCCGAUAAUUGAACCCGCAGUCCCUAGGUAAGUGGAUCUGGAAAAUGUUUCAGUUUUGCAAAUUUACCCCUGCAUUGUAAGAAUUUCGUCCGCGCUCCUUUGUUCGUCUUAUCCAGUAGCACGAGAAUGCACACGCGCGCCGCCGCCCUUUGCAUCCGCCACCACCGCCGUCCGCGCCGCCACCCUCUGCCUCCGCCACCACCAUCGUUCGCGCCGCCGCCCUCUGCCUCCGCUGCCUCUCCGCUGCCACCAUCGUUCGCGCAACCGCUUUUGCCUCCGCCACCACCAUCGUUCACGCUGCCGCCCUUUGCCUCCGCCACCACCGCCGUCCGCGCCGCCGCCCUCUGCCUCCGCCACCAUCAUCGUUCGUGUCGCCGCCAUUUACCUCCGCCACCACCGCAGUCCGCGCCGCCGCCCUUUGCCGCUCCAGCGUACGCACGCGUGGGAUGUUUCUCUAUUGUCGGCCAGUUGCAGGAGGUGGCCGGCUCGCCCCCAUCGUCAAAUCCCAUAGCCGGUCGAUCUCAACCGCGUGUUGCUGCUGUAGAUGUCGAGGCCGAGGCCAUCCAUUAUCGUGAGAUGGAGCAGCGGAGGACUGAGGCCCGCCGGGUGUUGGAGCAGAUUCUUCAGACAGUGGAGUUGAGUGACCCACUCAUCGAUGCCAGGGAUUCCAUCCAUCCAUCACAGAGUAUCCAUCCAGGGAUCCGAUCCAUCCAUCACAGAGCAGAUGAAUCAACAGAGUAUCCAUCUGGUCCAACAAGUGAAUUUAGGCGAUUAAUUAGCAUGAGCAUACGAGCUUCUUGUGCACAUGUAGUUUAGGUGUAUACAGGUUCAGGUAGUCAACUCUUCGUUUACCAAUCGCCCAGCUCUGAGCUAUUCCAACCUUCCACAACCACCACCACCCCUAAGCACGGGAGCAGAGCAAGGCUGCGCUGCAGCAACUUCAUCCCCUGAUACCAGGCUCGUGUUGUUGCUUUGUCUUGCCUCGGACAUCUAUUUUUCAAACGCCCGUUCAGUAAGUCAUGUUGGGAGAAACUUGGUGUUAGAUGGCCUGAUCUGGAUAACAGAUUGGAAUUGUUGCACGCAGCGAAAAGAAACUGGAUUUGACAUAUGUUCAUGGAAGUGUUUGUGGUGGCAGCAUGGAGUAUAUGGAAAGAGAGAAACAACAAGCACUUUAGGGGGAUUGCUUCAACUCUAGAUUCUUGGCUGAACAGGUUCAAGCGUUACUUCAAACUUCUGAAACAUAGAUCUAAGAGUAGCCCAGAGCCUUUAAUUUUGCAUCUCGUUACUUCUAUAUGAUUCAUAGCUAGCUGCUAGACCCUCUUUUGGUUGUACUCUGACCUCUCCUCCCCCUCCCCUGCUAACUUCUCAAUGUAAAUAUUGUACUGUAGCUUUGACGCUCUGAUCUAAUACAAAGGUCAGUGGUGGGGUUCCCCCACUAUGGAAGGUUCUCAAAAAACAGUUUUCUAGAUGAUAGUUUUAGGUCUGUUAGUAACUUGGUCUGGGUGAUGUUAUUGCCUUCAUUAAGACCAGUCGAGCCCUUGAUUUUCAUCGAAGUCGCUCUCAAAGACAUGGCCACGUUUGUACACUCUAUUAAAGUUUGGCAUGGUUUUCUUUUAAUAAAUGGGUGCUCCACUCUAUUUGUUACCUUGUGUUCUUUUGUGAUAACAUGAUUUUUUUGUUGGAUAACCCUCCAAUUGAUGAAUCUGGUGGUCUGUGCUCUUGCAGAUUACUAAUACAGUGACAAUCCUUCAGAUUCAGGGUAUACAAUGUCGGAUUACUGUCUACGGACGUAUUGAAGGCAAAAAUUCUUGCGAUGGAGGUAUAACGUGCUACCACUUUAUCAGUACAUAACAAACUUCCAUUCUUUAUAAAUAGCAACAAGCAGUUUUCAUCUCCAAGCAUAUUCAAAAGCAAAAACAAUUUUUUUUAUUGUUUAUUAAAACUGUAUGAUGAGAUAGUUCACGGUGUUGGACUAAAAUUGGAGAACACAAGUUUAUCAGAAACAAUAAGAAUUUGUCAUCAAGGAUCUAAGAGCUCUCGAAAUAUGUUGUUCUCCUCUUUUGAUUCUCCUUUCAGUACAUAAGAUUUCAGACUCUGGUUUAUAAGUAUAAGGAUGAAAGUAUCUUUAAAUACCACAAUGCACUUGUCAUUCGAUUGGAUUCAAAGUGCAAUAAUGUACAGAACAUUAACUAUUACUCCCUCCUUCCGGAAAUAAGUGGCACCGUUUUAAUUCAAAAUUGAACUAAAACAACAUCACUAGCUUAUUUCUGAUGGAGGGAGUAUAUGAUUACUUCAUCUGGUUGCUGCAUCCCCUUUAUCCAUCAAAAUAGUGUUCUACAAGGCUCAUUAUGUUGGUUGGAAAAAGGAUCACAACAGAGGCACAAUAAACUGCUGGCAUAUUAACAUCAUAUUAGUGGGAAAAAGGAUGUUGUCGCUGGAGCUAGAUCUUAAGUAGGUUGUGCCUGUUUUUUCGCCCGGUGCAACGCACGGGCAUUUGUACUACACCAAGACCAAGACCAAGCAGUCAUAUCCACGAGCAAGGCCAAUCGGGACACCCUUUCCAAGCUGUAGCACAAGCCUAUAAUGUGCAAGUAUUUCCGUAAGAUGACCAAGCCUAUCAAGAACCAGGUACUAACACCACAAAAAUUCUACUUGAAAAGUUGGAAUGCACAUGUUAUGCUUGGUUUCUAUGAUGUAACUCAUUUCUUUGUGCACCUUCUCUUAUAGGGAUUAAACCUUUUUGUGGAUUAUACUAUUAACAUUUAAUAAGUUUUUUUGUCAUUGGAGAAUCUGUUUUGGUCUUUGUUUUUAAAUGGUGACCAAAGGUAUUGCUGUAAUGAUGUGUAACAAUAAGGAUACCAAUUGAUCAAUUGGUAUCCCUGAAAUGCUUUUUUACACUUGGCAUCUGUGCUCAACCAGUUAAGAAGAUUGUUUUUGCUGUAUAAAA